rnacentral:rRNA from 1 species
AUGGAUCUUCAUCCACUUGCUAAUCUUUUUAAAAGAUCCAACUAUGAUGAACUAAUUGCUAGUGAGUUAAGUGCACUAGAUUAUCUUUAUGAGGUUUUGUUUGAAAUUCAUGAAUCUGAAAUUUGUGAUGAGGUGUUAAAAGAAGAAAUUUAUAAAGUGAUUCAGGAUAGCUCCUUGAAUAAAAAGCAUGACUACAAUGAUGUUAUUAUAGAUUCUAUUAAUGUAAAUUGUGUUAAUGAUAUGCAAAACCCCAAGCUUGGGGAUGCUAUUUUUUCUAUGUCCACUACUUGUUGCAGUGAUCAUGAUUGGGGUGAUUCUUCUUAUGAUCUUGAAAAUAUAUUUAAGCCCCAUGAUUAA